rnacentral:rRNA from 1 species
UACGAACUGUGCAACCGUUAUUCGGAAUCACUGGGCUUAAAGGGUGCGUAGGCGGCUAUCUAAGCAGGGUGUGAAAGCCCCCGGCUCAACCGGGGAAUAGCGUUCUGAACUGGAUGGCUGGAGUGAGAUAGGGGUGUGUGGAACUUCCGGUGGAGCGGUGAAAUGUGUUGAUAUCGGAAGGAACGCCGGUGGCGAAAGCGACACACUGGGUCUCAACUGACGCUGAGGCACGAAAGCCAGGGGAGCGAACGGG